rnacentral:rRNA from 1 species
AGCGAACGCUGGCGGCAGGCCUAACACAUGCAAGUCGAACGAAGCCUUCGGGCUUAGUGGCGGACGGGUGAGUAACACGUGGGAACGUACCUUUAGGUUCGGAACAACUCAGGGACACUUGAGCUAAUACCGGAUAAGCCCUUCGGGGGAAAGAUUUAUCGCCUUUAGAGCGGCCCGCGUUAGAUUAGCGAGUUGGUGAGGUAAAGGCUCACCAAGGCUACGAUCUAUAGCUGGUCUGAGAGGAUGAUCAGCCACACUGGGACUGAGACACGGCCCAGACUCCUACGGGAGGCAGCAGUGGGGGAUCUUGCGCAAUGGGCGAAAGCCUGACGCAGCCAUGCCGCGUGAAUGAUGAAGGUCUUAGGAUUGUAAAAUUCUUUUACCAGGGACGAUAAUGACGGUACCCGGAGAAGAAGCCCCGGCUAACUUCGUGCCAGCAGCCGCGGUAAAAC